GAUGAACGCUGGCGGCGUGCUUAACACAUGCAAGUCGAACGAGAAGUGAAGACGGAAACCUUCGGGCGGAAGGCUUUAUUUCGAGUGGCGGACGGGUGAGUAACGCGUGGGUAACCUGCCUCAUACAGGGGGAUAACAGUUGGAAACGACUGUUAAUACCGCAUAAGACCACAGCACCGCAUGGUGCGGGGGUAAAAACUCCGGUGGUAUGAGAUGGACCCGCGUUCGAUUAGCCAGUUGGCGGGGUAACGGCCCACCAAAGCGACGAUCGAUAGCCGAUCUGAGAGGAUGACCGGCCACAUUGGGACUGAGACACGGCCCAAACUACUACGGGAGGCAGGAGUGGGGAAUAUUGCACAAUGGGGGAAACCCUGAUGCAGCGACGCCGCGUGAGUGAAGAAGUAUUUCGGUAUGUAAAGCUCUAUAAGCAGGGAAGAAAAUGACGGUACCUGAGUAAGAAGCCCCGGCUAACUACGUG
rnacentral:rRNA from 1 species